GAACUGAAGAGUUUGAUCAUGGCUCAGAUUGAACGCUGGCGGCAGGCCUAACACAUGCAAGUCGAGCGGAUGAAGGGAGCUUGCUCCUGGAUUCAGCGGCGGACGGGUGAGUAAUGCCUAGGAAUCUGCCUGGUAGUGGGGGAUAACGUCCGGAAACGGGCGCUAAUACCGCAUACGUCCUGAGGGAGAAAGUGGGGGAUCUUCGGACCUCACGCUAUCAGAUGAGCCUAGGUCGGAUUAGCUAGUUGGUGGGGUAAAGGCCUACCAAGGCGACGAUCCGUAACUGGUCUGAGAGGAUGAUCAGUCACACUGGAACUGAGACACGGUCCAGACUCCUACGGGAGGCAGCAGUGGGGAAUAUUGGACAAUGGGCGAAAGCCUGAUCCAGCCAUGCCGCGUGUGUGAAGAAGGUCUUCGGAUUGUAAAGCACUUUAAGUUGGGAGGAAGGGCAGUAAGUUAAUACCUUGCUGUUUUGACGUUACCAACAGAAUAAGCACCGGCUAACUUCGUGCCAGCAGCCGCGGUAAUACGAAGGGUGCAAGCGUUAAUCGGAAUUACUGGGCGUAAAGCGCGCGUAGGUGGUUCAGCAAGUUGGAUGUGAAAUCCCCGGGCUCAACCUGGGAACUGCAUCCAAAACUACUGAGCUAGAGUACGGUAGAGGGUGGUGGAAUUUCCUGUGUAGCGGUGAAAUGCGUAGAUAUAGGAAGGAACACCAGUGGCGAAGGCGACCACCUGGACUGAUACUGACACUGAGGUGCGAAAGCGUGGGGAGCAAACAGGAUUAGAUACCCUGGUAGUCCACGCCGUAAACGAUGUCGACUAGCCGUUGGGAUCCUUGAGAUCUUAGUGGCGCAGCUAACGCGAUAAGUCGACCGCCUGGGGAGUACGGCCGCAAGGUUAAAACUCAAAUGAAUUGACGGGGGCCCGCACAAGCGGUGGAGCAUGUGGUUUAAUUCGAAGC
rnacentral:rRNA from 1 species